rnacentral:rRNA from 1 species
CAGUCGCCACGGUAAUACGUAGGUGGCAAGCGUUGUCCGGAAUUACUGGGCGUAAAGCGUGCGCAGGCGGUUUUGUAAGACAGGCGUGAAAUCCCCGGGCUCAACCUGGGAAUGGCGCUUGUGACUGCAAAGCUAGAGUGCGGCAGAGGGGGAUGGAAUUCCGCGUGUAGCAGUGAAAUGCGUAGAUAUGCGGAGGAACACCGAUGGCGAAGGCAAUCCCCUGGGCCUGCACUGACGCUCAUGCACGAAAGCGUGGGGAGCAAACAGGAUUAGAUACCCCAGUAGUCCCUGUCUCUUAUAC